rnacentral:miRNA from 1 species
UACCGCUUUUCGGCUAAAGG